rnacentral:miRNA from 1 species
CGGCCCACGGAGCUCCUAAAGGCUCGCCCUCGCUCGCCUUGCCUGUUUUAUGACGCUCCGUGGGCCUG